CCAGGUUACCAGGCCUUAUUAACAGUCCAGUCCACCAGUUAAUUAAUUAGACCAAUGAAUUAAUAAAUUCAUUUUUUUUUUCAUGUGACAGAUAAAUGGCAAUCUUGCAUAAAAUGAAAAAAUAGGAUUUAUGGUUAAAAAUCGUAAAUAUGUUAAUAAAUAGAUUAAAAAGAUCAACACACACAAGUUCAUUUAUCUGUUUUAAAAGGAGUAUUUUAUUUCAUUUCAAGCGUGGCGAAAGUGCCUUUCUCAAAGUGUAAAGGAUUCAGGUGACAUGAGGAGUUCACGUGAUAGUGUAACCAAUCAGACGCCACCAGGGCGUACAUGCGUGCUUCCGUUUUUUCUCUCUGCCUCUGCCGGAUCGUCUCCGAGGCAGCGGUGUGCUAGCCUCCUCCUGCAGACUAUGCCGAUUUUUUAGUCUGAGAGAGCCAGAUAUUCCAAGUCUGUCACUUUUAUCGUCAGAGCAGAGAGCGGAGCCUUUCCCUUUUUGCCAUGUGUAGAUGAGCGGACCGUGUGUUUUGCAACAGAAGCGGAGGAGAACCGGAAUCCUGGACUGAUGAGAGCCGUGUAUUGUGCCCUGUGCCCGGAGUGUGUGUGUAUGUGAACCGUGAGCCUCUGGCUGGGUCUUUUUUUUUCCUUUCCCUUGUAUGGAUUCCUGUGUUGAUCUGCGAGACAUCUUCUUCUACUGGGGAUUCUUCCUGUGUCUGUAAAGGUAGAACGGGACCUCAGUGGUCGUGGCGAGCCAACCCAAAAGACAGAGACUGGGAUUUAUACAGAGACUGUGAUUUGUUUAAAAAAGGCUGAUUUAUUGAGAACUGUGGUUGAUGUCUCAUGUCUGAAGAGCUGAAAAGUUAAAAUUGGUUUUUUUUAUUUAUUUUUCUACAACUUCAUUUUCAUUCAAUACAAUACAACACACUUAAAAAACUUACCUUUGAUGUGUGUGGGGUUCUUUACUCAGUCACUCAAUGCAUUUUGCUAAUGCACCCUUUCUCCUGUAGCGACCUAAACUUCUGACUACUGGUCCACAAGGUAAUUGAUGCACUGAUGAAAUAAAUAUCUGUAUCUCCCAGUCUUUUACCAUUAGCAGUUAGAGCUGAGGCAGGUUAC